rnacentral:lncRNA from 1 species
UUUUUUAUCAGUUAGUUGCCCCGCCUCUGUAGUUUUACCAGGAAUGGGGGGUAAAACUGGAAUUCCUGGAAUUCCUGGAAGGGGAGGGAGAGGAGGAAGUUGUGGCAAUGGUGGAAGAAAAGGGACUGUAGGAAGAGGAGAAAGAUCAGGUAUUGUGGAGUUUUGAGUUAGUUGCCCUGCCUCUGUAGUUUUACCAGGAAUGGGGGGUAAAACUGGAAUUCCUGGAAUUCCUGGAAGUCCUGGAAGGGGAGGGAGAGGAGGAAGUUGUGGCAAUGGUGGAAGAAAAGGGACUGUAGGAAGAGGAGAAAGAUCAGGUAUUGUGGAGGUUUGAGUUAGUUGCCCUGCCUCUGUAGUUUUACCAGGAAUGGGGGGUAAAACUGGAAUUCCUGGAAUUCCUGGAAGUCCUGGAAGGGGAGGGAGAGGAGGAAGUAGUGGCAAUGGUGGAAGAUAAGGGAGUGUAGGAAGAGAUGGAAGAUCAGGUAUUGUGGGGUUUUGAGUUGGUGGUGGAAAUGUGAGCUCAUCAGUUGGAGGAAAUGAGAAUUUCCGAGAACUGAAUUCCUUGGAGUUUUGAAUGCUUGGUUUUUGGUUACAUAGGCUUGGCUGCUUUAGAGGCUUAAAGGUGAAGAACCCAGCUGAGAAAAUGUGUGUUCCUUGCUUUCUUGACUUGAGAUGCAGUGAAGAUGAAGUGGCUAUUGAGGCCACAGCACAAUAUGGUUCACUGCUGCUGAUUAAUUUCACAGAACACCCUUCAAUUUUCUUGACAUGCUUGCUCACAGAGAAAGGCAGAUGAACUCUGAACACUCCAUGGCUAUCUGUUUUCACUUCUGUCUGGAAACUUGGUUUUGAACUCCCAUCUUUGCAUUCAACACCAACAGAAGCCCCUGCAGAAAAAAUAAGUUGAAAAAUAAGUCAACUGAACGCAAAAUUCACAGUAUAAAAAGCACUUUUUAAUUGAGUUGUUGUUGGAAAAUUUGAAAUGAACCUGAAAUGAAGUGGCUGGCAUGUGAGAAUUCUGCUUGGAAACAUGUGUCACAGUAGACAGUGCCUACAACAACUGCAGAUGGGGUCUUCUUCUCAUGGCUAGCUUCUGAGGGAGUACUUAGUGAGAGAGUACUGAUCAAAAAGAGUACUGUAAAAAACCAAGACAUUUUAGAGCAUCUAUUGCCUCUGAGCAACUCUAACUCUAAGAAUGAGUAGAUGUAGGUUGCCUUUUUAUAUAAAUUCCUGAGGCUUAUAGCUGAUAUAAAUAUUCUCUACAGCAUUCAUUAUACACUUUUUUUGUUUCUUUCUGGUUGUUUCGAGGCAUAAAAAAUGAACUUUUUUCUUCAAAUUUUAUAGCCUGCUGGGCCAUCAAGGUAAUUUAUUUCACUCAUGCAAAAACCAGUCAACUGCAAACUAGAAGAAGUGAAUGUAGGUUCAUUUCCUACCACCAAACAACCCAAAAAAGAAGGUUAAUACUGUGAUUGUGAGGUAGAUAUAAAGAGGCCCCUAACUUUUGCUUUGUUUGCUUACAUUUAUUGAGUUUGUUUCUUUGUUUGGUGUAAGAAUUCUAAAGAGAAUAGUUGGGUCCCCGUUGGUUCACGAGACAAGUGGAGUAACCACAAAUUUCAUGAGUCCGAAGCUGUACACUAUCAACAACACAGGUUGAAGAUGUUGUUGGGUUUAUUUAUGUAUGUUCUUCACACAGAAACAAAAUGAUGGGCGCCUACUAUGAGCUGCUCUCAGUAAUAUAUAUCUGUGCAAAUUGAAAAACUCCCCAAGUACCAAACAAAGUUUACAACUCAAUGUAUGGAUCAGAAUCUUAUUAAUAAGGCUUUUUGGUUCAGAAUGUUAUGAUAAUCAUUAGAUUCAUUUAUUACAAUUUGCUUUAAAUUUUCUAAUUGUUUUUAACAAGUCUUUUCAGUGCAGGUGAUCCAUAAAUAGGUAAAGUAAACAGUCAAGUGAUUGCAACCGAAGAGUCUUUUCCUCAGUCUUUUGACACAAAGUUUUCUGACAAAAAAUAAAUAAAUAAAAUUUAGAUUUUAGCAACAAAAAAAUUUUCACUUUUGAAAAAAUCUAAAAAAAUUUCGAAAAAGACAUAAAAACUCCUUAACUUUCAAACCAAAAGACAUGCAAAUAUAAAUGAUUCCUUUGGAAAUCCAAAAAUAAUAAGGGCAUUUUUGUCUAUUUUUGCUUAUUUUCAAAAUAUUUCUCUCUAUUUUGGCAUUUUCCAAAAUAUCCCCAAAAAAAAACGACAAAGUUUAGACAUCAUCAGCAAUUAUAAGUCACUUGAGCACAGAUGUAUAUUCAAUAAUUGGUUUGGUUCAAAAACUACCAAUCUACAUAGUACAAUGAUUGUGGGACUGAUUAUUGGGAAUUUGUGAGACUUAUUUUAGCAGAAAAUGGACAAUGCAUAUGGCAUGCAAUGAUCCAAACUCAAAACAAAGAAGCUACGACUUCCAAGUAUUUGAGCAAUUUCAAGCCAACUCAGAAAUCUCUGUACUCUGUAGGCUUAUAAGACACUCUCCCAUGUGUUGAUGUUGCAUACAGAUUCCCUUUGCAUCAAUAUCCUUCCAUUCCAACAGUCUGUUUUUUUUUUUUUCUUUUUUAAAUUCAAUUUUCCACAUUUUUUACUGUCCGUCAAAUGCAUAGCAUUUUGGGUGAAAAAGAAAAACAAGAACUUCUACUACUGACAAAAGAGACACCAGUCACACCACAGAGGCACAAACUCCAGAAUUAUGAUAAUUACAUCCUGCAUUGGAAAUUGACAGAUUGUCUUCACGUUCCCCACAGUUUUGCAUUGAGCUGCUAACAAUCCCACAAACUUGCACCGUUUCAUUCUUUGUCCGUGGGCCACAAUUUUUGACAAAUUUGACAAUCUAAUAAGGCGGUUCCUGACAAUCCAAGGUUAUCUCCAUGACAACCACAAGCCACUGUUUCACUGUUAUCUUGUGAGGAAAUUGAAAUGUAACACCAAAUUUUCUUUUACACAGUGCAAGAGAUAAUGCAUGUUAAAAGUUAAAAAAACAAAAGGGGGAUGUUUUUGUCUAAUUCUAUGAUGUACAAAACAUCUCUUUGUCCUUCACGGGUUCCAAAACACAAUGUCACCUCUUCACUUCACGGGCGACCUUAAGCCUGUGGGCUGAGGGCCUUCGUGUCUGCUUGUUGAAUGUGGAGUUUUUCAGCCGAUGGAUACCAUUCCCAAAUGGAUACGUCAAGCUUGAAACAUACGAUGAGAUUCUUGAUUAGAUCCUUGAUGGCUUGUCCAUUAUUAUUGAAUUGAAACAACAAAGUUUGAUUGGUAACAAGGUUUGCCAACUCGAAGGGUAAGAUUGUAGCCAAUCAACUAAACUUUUUAGUGUCAGGUGCAUCCACUGAAUGUAAGGUCUCAUAUUUGAUUUACAUAAAUACAAAGAUGAUAUUUAUUUGUGACGGGUGUAUAGCUUUGUUGUGGGUACGCUUCUCAUUGUAAAAGUAUAUUUGUAAUAACAUCAGUAAUUUUUUCUUUUGUAUUAAAUAACAUUAGACACCUCAUUCAUGCAGGGAAGUUCUUUUAUCACAUUGAAUGUAUAAUGUAUAGCAGCAAUUUUCAUCCGUACAAUAAUGUAAUCAUCAGCAUGUGAUAUUUCUGUUUGUUCUUCUAUCUGAGUUUGUAUUUAUUCCAGUCUGAAUGCUUGAUAUGGAGAAAGAAAGUACUUGAUGAGCCAUCUGUCCAUGAAAUCAUUGGUUUCUAAAACAGCAUAAUAUUUGUAGAACAAAACCAUAGAUUAAAUUGUUAGAUUUCUUUAUGCACAAACAAGAUCUUUCACACAAAACUGUAAUACGUAUAAAGACAUGAAGACAUAUCUGGAGCCAUUUUCCUUGAGUACACAGCUUCUAAACUCAUCCAAUCCGUAGCAGCAGCAAUCCUAGCAAGAAUAGGAAUGGCUCAAGACUUCUGCUCUCUCUCAGAAUCUGUUUCAGCUCUCUCUUUAUAAUGAGAAUAGGUUUAAAGAACGUGUCUGAUGAGAGCAGGGCCUUAAGCUUAUAUAGGGCUAGGUCAAGUCGUCUCUAUUCAUCACCUAGGGCUGACUUGACUAAUCUUCCAAGUCCACCAGAUUGGUUCACGCAUAAAUGGAAAUAAAUAGGACCCCUUAAUAGGCCUCAAAACCCUUCCUUAUUUCACUAAGUUUUGGGCCUCAAUGUACAACUUAAUUUAAACUUUUAUUAAAAUAUAAUAUAACUUAGUAUCUAGUACACCGAUCUAAAUAGGAAAACAUAACAUAAAUAAACCCAGCUGCAAGUUUGUAUAUUGGACUGGAGUGGUACCAUUUGCAGAACAAAACAAUGUGAUACAGCGCAAACUAUAUUGGCCAGUUUGCAGAUUCGAAGAAAUAAUGCAAAAUAAUCACAACCAUCAUCUGUAUGCAAAAACAAAAAAACAAAAACAAAAAAAAAACAAAAACAAAAAAAACAAAAAAAAAAAAAAAAAAGAAGAAGAAAGAAAGAACAAUCAACGAUGCUUGUCAUAAAAAACAACUGCAGAUGGGUGCUUCUUCUCAUGGCUAGCUUCAUGAGGGAGUACUUAGUGAGAGAGUACUGAUAAAAAAGAGAACUGUAAAAAACCAAGACAUUUUAAAGCUUCUAUUGCCUCUGAGCAACUCUAACUCUAAGAAUGGGUUGAUGUAGGUUGCCUUUUAUAUCAAUUGCUGAGGCUUAUAACUAAAAACUAAUAUAAAUAUUCUCCACAGCAAUCAUUAUAAUUUUGUUUCUUUCUGGUUGUUUUGAGGAAUGAAAAAUGAACUUUUAGUUUUUUUUUUUCUUUCAAAUUUUAUAGCCUUGCCCAUCAAUAGUUUCUUUAUUUCACUCAUGCAAAAACCAGUCAACUGCAAACUAGAAGAAGUGAAUGUAGGUUCAUUUCCUACCACCAAACAAUCCAAAAAUAAGGUAAAUAUUGUGAUUGUGACUGUGAGGUAGAUAAAAAGAGGCCCCUUAAUUUUUGCUUUGCUGGUUAUUUGUCUACUUAAAUUUAUUGAGUUUGUUUCUUUGUUGGCGUAAAUACUAAAGAGAAUAGUUGGUUCACAAGACAAGUGGGGUAACCACAAAAUUUCAUGAGUCUGAAGCGUUACACUAUCAACAACGUUGAAGAUGUUGUGUUUAUUUAUGUAUGUGCUUCACACAGAACCAAAAUGAUGGGGGCCUAUUAUAUUGGUUAGAAGUACAAAUAUAUAUCAUCUCUAUAAAAAAAUCACUUGAAUCCGAUAUCAUUUGACCACUCAAUUAAAUUAUUGAAAUUUAAGUACUUUCUUGAAGCACCAUGUUCAUUGAUUUUCUUGGUCUCAAUUAGAUGUCUUAAUGAUUUUCAAUUUGCGUGAUUUUUUGCAAGGAUGAUCUCUGAAUGAAGAUGUGAAAAAUAGAUCGUUUGGAUCGUUGAAAAAAAUUUCGCAGAGAAUCCUACACCCUCAAAAUAAAAUUAUUUGAGAAAUCCCUCAAUAGAAGGGGACUAUAUAAUCUGUGAAAAUUGAAAAACUCCCAAGUCCGAAACAAAGUUUACAACUUUCCAUGGUGUCAGAAUAUGUGGUUUGAGCAGAGCACGGGAUCUUCUCGUGACCUAAUGUGGCAUAUUAAUAGGGUUUUUGCUUGGAUUAAAAUAAUAGCAAUGUGAGACCUCCAAAUCUCAUGGAGGUUUUCUACUUCUAUGAGCAUAGAACAACCCCUGAAUCAUUAGAUUCAUCUAUUGCAAUUUGCUCUAAAAUUUCUAACUGUUUUUAACUGCAUAAAAAACAAGACUUUUUGUGCAGGUAGUCCAUAAAUAGGUAAAGUAAUUCCGGCCAAAUUAAAAGUGUCAUGUGAUUACAACCAAAGAGCCUUUUCGUCAGUUAUUUGGCACAAAGUUUAGAACCUUGUAUCACCACUAUCAGUAAUUAUGAGUAAUUUGAGCACAGCUGGGACAACAAUAAAACAAUGUAUAUUCAAUAAUGCAUCAGUGACAAUUGACUGCUAUGGAUAAUGGGUUUGGUGAAAUAAAAAACUACCAAUAUACUACAUACAACAAUGAUUUUGGGAUUUGAUUAUUUGGAAUUUGAGAGACUUACAUUUAGCAGAAAAUGCACAAGCAUAUGUGCGUUUACCCUAAACAUGUUCAAACCUCAGAGAUAGGCUUUAGAUUGUGUGAAUUGUGAACGUGCCACUAUUAGUGGUGUAAAACCCUAAUAGACUUGAAAGAGAAUUAAGUAACUUGCGCACCAAGAAAACUCACUGAAAUCAAAUAAUUGUGAAUUGAAAUGGUAAACUAAAUCAAAGUUUCUUUUCCAUGCCUCAAGACAAAUGACAACUUUAUAAUUUCUCUAAAACAAUAAGGGUAAUAAACAACAAAUAAACAAGUAAACAAAAGGGAUCCAGAUCAAGGGAUCUUAUUAGAUAAUAAAUUGCCACCACCUUGGAUCACUUCUGAUUGAAUUCAGAGGUUAAGGGUCUAGUGGCAAUAGCAGUAGUAUAUCACAUCACCUUCAAUUGAUGAAGAUCAAUUGGAAAUCGAUACCAGAGACAGAUCUGGCAGAGCAAUUAUCAAGAAAGAUAUAGCAUUUGAGAAGGAAUUAGGGUUUGUACUGAAUUUAUUGUUGAAAAGUUGUGUUUGUUAUCGUGAGCUAUCUAUUCCCUUUUAUAUGAAUUUUGACUUGGUGGAGAGAGAUUACAACCUAUGUCAUGCCAUCAUGAGGAUCAAAUCAUAAUCCAUUGGAAUUAAUUAUUUAGUUGAUUGCCUUAAUCGUCAAGUAAUAUCAUGAUUUCUCCUUGAUUUUCUAGGUAAUUAUCAAUUAAUAGAUAAUUCCCUUUCCCAGCCACUUAAACUGGCCCAAGGAAUCUUAACCGGAUUGCAAUACUAAAAUCCCCCCCAAAUUGGCUUAAAUCUCAUCUGUAUAAAAACUAGGCCUAAACAUUACCCCAUAAGCCCAAUAGACUUGAUUAGAGGGAUUUGGGGUUACAUGCAUGAGCGUGACACCAUGCGUCGUUUUCAUUUCAAUCACUUCAAUCGCGCCAUUUUGACUUCUACUUUAGUCUUUCGAACCUUUCUAUCUUCUUCUCACUACGAAGCCUAGAGAUUCUUAGCGAUUAUCGAUACCUUCAACUUUUCCAAACUUUUGUUACCGAAAGUCUCAAGUUUCACCACCCCCUAACCAAUUCUCGUUUCAGAAACCAUUUCUUUGUCUCAAUGGCCACCUCUGACUCCAACGUCCCAAAGCCUAUCUCUGAAAAAUAUGCUAUUAUAUAUGCAUGCCCAAGACAUUUGUGCAUAAUUGGGUAAAGUUGCUGAUGAUGGUCCAACGCUCGUACAAUUUAACUGAGCGUCCAGACUUCAACACUGGGUCCAUAAAGAACAGUCUACUGCAAAGGUUUGAGUGGAUUGGCGAUCUUCAUGACCAGUAUCCGGAGCUUUGGGAAAAGCAUCGCAUUUACGAUGCCAUUAUGCUUUUUCGUUUUGACACUUCGAGGGGUAUUUGUUCUCAACAUAUGCAGGGGAUCUUUCUCAAGCACAUGAGAAAGUCUACUCAUUAGAUCAUUUUAGUAGCAAUAAUAUUGUAGGGCUUUUUCGUUCUGGCAGCUAUAGAUUAGUCUGGGCUACUGUAAAGAGUAAAUUGGAGAAAACUCCCCAUGUGUCUAAGUUCAAGAAUAAGACCCCAAAAGUGCUUCGAAAGGGUAGCUAAGCCUUAGAAAACACCUUGGUCUUCUUCACCAAUGAAACCAACAGUUGCUUACAAAUAAAUGCUUGGCUUGGCUUGAGAAGCUUGUGGCAUGGAAGCUAAGCAUUCAUGAGUUUAGCAAGAGAGAGAGAGAGAGAGAGAGAGAGAGACCAUAUUUUCUACGAGAAACACAGGUUUAAAGCAAAGGAUUUCAUGAGAAUUUGCUGAGGAGACAAGAUUUUUGGGAGCUCAAAAGUCUUCUUGCAACUGUUCCAGUGGUAACCUCUCAUCUAUGGUUAUCACUUCUCCUUCUUUCCUCCCAUAUUUCAUGGCAAGAGCUGAUAAAGGAAGAAAAUAGAUAGCAACGUUGGUCUGAAGGAUGUCUUUUCUCCUAGCAACCUGCUGGCGCUAAUACCCUUUGGUCAUUUGAAUGGUUUGUCUUGAGGUUUGCACCUGGUCACGUGCUAGAGCCUCACAGCAGCCUACAUAUGUGAGUCAUUCCUUGGCUUUUUGUUGUGGUUUUGUCUCCAACCAUGUGCUGGAGACUUUCAAAUAUUUUUUUUGAUCAUUUGGGCCUUCCUAAGGUAAUGGGUUUGUCUACUAGGGAAUGGGCCAACUUCACAAAGUGAUAGACUACUUUUAUUAAGGUGAUGGGUCAAUUUUCUAAAGUGGUGGGCUCUCUUUUUCUCUCAUUUAUGCUUACCCAGAUAUUUGGACUCAAGAAAUGGGCUCGAGUUUUGGGGCUCCCAAGCAAUCUAAAACUUCAAUUUCUCGGCUCAUCAAUGGGCCUCAUGAAUGCUCGUUACCAUCCAUACUACAACCCACUCAGCAAGCCCCGAACAUUUGCAUGGCUUGGGCCUACUUAAGCUUAUAGCAUGGCUAUGUGUAAUAAUGAUUUUCUGCUUGGCAUUGCAUGUUGAUUGGCGUGCCUGAAUUUUAUCGUCUUUGAAAAGGGAUAUGAUGCUUGACGGGAGAAUUAGCAUGGGCUUGUAGAGCUAGUGCCUUUUAUGGGCUCAUUUCAAUUCUUAGCGUGACGGAUUGCAUAUUUAUUUCGCAUGGCACGUGGAUCGUGGCUCUUGCAAGCAUGCAUGACGAAUUUCGCAUACUCCAAACCGAGUCUCUUCUUAAUUAGGUGUCGCACUGGACCAGGAAUUUAUUUGGACCUCAAGUUACAUACACGAUUUUUUUUUUCUUCACAUGGGUCAUUUUAGUAGUUGUGAUAACUUAAUAGUAUAUCUUCCUAUGUUAAAAUUAUAUACAUGGGAUUUUUCUCAUGCGCGUGAGAGAUUUAGGUCCCAUAUCAUUUUAUUGUGAACUCUUUAUUGAAUAUCCUCCCAUUCGCAAUUUAUGCGCAUUUUCUCAAGCUCAUGAAAGAUUCUGGUGAUUAGAUUACUUAAUGGAACAAUGAACUUAUGAUAACAUUUGUCAUGCAUAUACAUGCGCGCAUGAGAGUAUUGUCAUAGUAUCUAUACAUGCCCCAUUCUUAUCAUCUUCUCUGCUUGAUCUGGAAAUAUUAUCUAUGAUUCGCUAACACGACACGAAUUCACAAGAAAAAAUCAAUAUUUGGGUUUAGCUUGGACUCGUUAGCCACCCAUUAAGCUAAUAGGUCAUAUCAGUAUCAUUCACGAAUAUUCGCUAACGGGUUGUGUUGGUCAUUCACGAAUUUAAACAGGUCAUGUCCGUGUUUGGUAUUUUCCACCCGUUAACUUAACGGGUCGUGUUCAUAUCAACUCGUUAAGAAAGUGGGUCAACACAAACACAACAAUAUAUUUGGUCCAAGUGCUAUGGGUAUAGCAAUGCUGCAUUGAUCCUAAGCUUUUUUAUUUUUUGUUUGGACGGAUGAUGCUAAGCUUAAUGAGUGCAAUAUAUUUUGCUAAAUAUAUAUGAGCUCAAGAAACUCCGAAUUAUGGUGCAGCACCCAACACCUUUAGAACAUUACAAAAGGGACCAACAAAGCUUAACAAGCCUCAUGAAACACUGUGACUGCAAACAAAUCAACUGGGUCAUUUAGGCCCAGUCCCCAAACAAAGUUCUUUCCCUAAUCAUAUUUACGAAUGGAAGUUGAAAGUUGAAGCCACUCAUUUAUUUCACAUGCAAUUUAAUUUGUGCUCUCAUAUUAAUUAUUUAAGCACUAAUUUUAUGCGCAUUUGGUAUUUGAGGUUGAUAAUUUAGUGGUGCUGAUGGACAAGUCUUAACUGUGUGUGUGUUUUGCAGAAGUACAGGCUCAACAGCAGGGGCGCCCAACCAGCAGCUUCUGCCAACAGUUCGCAGAGGGCAGCCCUGUUUUACUACAGGGACAUGUGGAACCCUAGCGCUUCUGAGCAGUCAAACUCUCGGCAGCAGCAGCUCGAAAGUGCAAGGAAUGGUGGAGAUGGCUCUUCAGUUGGUGGCUCUAGCAGAACCAGAAUUGAAAAAAUCAAAGAGUUAGGUUAGAUGAUGUUUAGUUAUGCAUCUGCUGAGAUUUUGCAUAUGUGUAUAUGAGGGCAUGUAUAGCAAAAGAUUAGGAUUCAGGAAAUAAUCAGAACCUGAAAGUUGUUUAUAAUUUCUUCUUUCUUUUUUGGGUCUCAAAAGUUGUUUAAUUUCAUGUUGAAUUGUAGCUGUGAUGCAUUUUUUGUUUUUGUUUUUGCUUUUUGGGUUUCAAUUUCUGCCCAAAUUGGUGCAGUUUAAGUUCUAAAAUUUCCAUUUUCAUGGACUUGUGUUUCCCAAGCAAACUGGUCUAAGAAGAACAAUUCAAUUUUAGCAUGAAGAAGCAAUUUUUUCUUCUUCUUCUCGAAGGGUCUUUUUGAUUGGACAAUGUUGAAAUGCAGCUCCAAAUUCAGCAAUUCAGGUAUAAUUCUACAGAGGGAGUUCAUAAUUAAUGCAAACAGUGGCACAAAAUCUCAGAAUAUAUUGGGAUUUUUUACUAAGUAAAUGAAGUCUGUCAGAUGAUGAGAGAACCAUAGCUUUAUUCCAAGUACAAUAACUUACAUACUCCUUACAAAGUACAAACUUACAAGCCCUACUACAUAUGCUUCUGAUAAUUGCACACCCCAUACAAACUUAACAUGAUUUAUUUAGUUAAUGAUUUCAGUUUAAUAUCAAGGAGAAGUAGUUUGCUUUGAAGAAGCCCGUGGGAUUCCAGGAAUGCGAGAUGUUGGUGGUGAUGGAUUUGGAGGCAAACUUGUUUUUGGAAUUUGUGGUGUUGUGAAGGAAGUAUCUGGGCGAGCUACUUUUUUAUCAUUUAGUUGCCCUGCCUUUCCUAGUCCUGGAAGUCCAGGAAGUCCUGGGAGUCCUGGAAGUCCCGGAAGUCCUGGAAGUCCCGGAAGUCCUGGAAGUCCCGGCAGUCCCGGAAGUCCUGGCAGUCCCGGAAGUCCUAAUAAUUUUUUGUCAGUUAGUUGCCCUCCCUUUGUAUUUUUACCAGUAAAGGGGGUUAAUUGUGGAAUUCCUGGAAGUCCUGGGAGUCCUGGAAGUCCUGUUCCUGGGAGUCCUGGAAGUCCUACUUUUUUAUCAGUUAGUUGCCCUGCCUUCGUAGUUUUACCAGGAAAGGGGGAUGUAACUGGAAUUCCUGGAAAUGAAGAUUUCUGAGAACUGAAUUCCUUGGAGUUUGGAAUGCUUGGUUUUUGGUUACAGAGGCUUGGCUGCUUUAGAGGCUUGAAGGUGAAGAAACCAGCUGAGAAUAUAUAUGUUCCUUGCUCACUUGACUUGAGAUGCAGUGAAGAUGAAGUGGCUGUUGAGGACACAGCACAAUAUGGUUCACUGCUGCUGAUUAAUUUCACAGAACACCCUUCAAUUUUCUUGACACGCUUGCUCACAGAGAAAGGCAAAUGGACUCUGAACACUCCAUGGCUAUCUGUUUUCACUUCUGUCUGGAAACUUGGUUUUGAACUCCCAUCUUUGCAUUCUACACCAACAGAAGCCCCUGCAGAAAAAUAAGUUGAAAUUAAGUUAACUGAACCCAAAAUUCACAAUAUAAAAAGCACUUUUGAUUGAGUUGUAGGAAAUUUGAAAUGAACCUGAAAUGAAGUGGCUGGCAUGUGAGAAUUCGGCUUGGAAACAUGUGUCACAGUAGACAGUGCCUACAACAACUGCAGAUGGGGGCUUCUUCUCAUGGCUAGCUUCUGAGGGAGUAGUCAAUGAGAGAGAACUGAUCAAAAAGAGUAGUGUAAAAAACCAA